AAAAUCAUAUAUAUGAAAGUUUGCCAACUCUCUCCAUAUGAUUGACACAUCAUCACUUUAAUAUUUGUCAUGUGUCUAUUAAAUAAUUAAUGUAAGCUAUUGAACUUCUAAUUUAUAGGUUAAUGAUAUAUUUAUUAUUUUAUUUUACAUAUUAUUUUAUUUUACAUAUUUAAUUGUACUAUUACUAAAUUUAUUUUAAUAUUACAUGAUUUUUU
rnacentral:sRNA from 1 species